rnacentral:ncRNA from 1 species
GCGACGCACUGGGGGAGCUGGUAACGGCUGAGAGGAAUCGAAUGAUUCUGACCCUUUGAACUCGAUCUGGAUAAUACCAGCGUGGGGAAGUGCAGCCAGAAUUGU